AAGGAUCAUUACCGAGAGUCUACCUCUCCACCCCUUUGUAUACCAUCCUCUGUUUCUUCGGCGGGCCGGGUCGGCCGCUGGCCCCUGGCCCGUCGGUGGUAACUCUGUAGUCGAACGCGUCGUCUGAGUUUGGCUUCUAAUAGAAUAAAACUUUCAACAACGGAUCUCUUGGUUCUG
rnacentral:misc_RNA from 1 species